CGUCCCUGCUCCUUGCACACACCGCCCCGUCGUUCCCACCCCGAGCGAUCCUUGGGUGAGGCGUGGUCUUUGUUGGCUGCGUCGAAUCUGAGUUUCGUAAAGGGGGGGGAAA
rnacentral:rRNA from 1 species